UCUCCCUUAGUCAGACAGCUGACAGGCUUCUUGAUUCUACUGCAGGCAGGACUGCCAAACCUGUGACUUCAAGAAAAAGCAUUCUGGACCUUCUCAAUGCAAAAGACAAACACAGAAAGAGACCACAGUGGCUGUGCUGUCUUCUCAACAGAAAGGAAUGAGUUUGCUUUCCUGCAAAAACAUCUCACAACCAGGAAUGAGCAUGGAACUUGUCGGGUCUGGGAGCUGUUAUAACCAGCCAGCAGUCUGCCAACGUUCCUGUCUGUAGAUUAAAACAAUGCCAUUGCUUAGGAAAACCAAAGUAAAAUGAAAAGGCU
rnacentral:lncRNA from 12 species